AUUUGUGUUAUCGUUCGCUGCUUUGCGCAGUCUUGCUACUUUCGCAACCCUAUGGUCUCUGGUUCUCUCCUAGUUUCUAUGGCCUUGGUUCUGCUAUUAUUGGUACCCCCAGCUAUUGUUUUUGGUGAUGAUGCCAUGCACUUCUUGUUUUUGGGUCGGAGAUGGCUUGACCUUCCUCAUUGCGAGCUGUCAAUUUGAGGAAACUGACCAUGCG
rnacentral:misc_RNA from 1 species